rnacentral:lncRNA from 1 species
AAUUCCUGCCUUAAGACAGGAGGCUGCUUUUAAUCAGAGAAGUCUGCAAGUGUUGCACCAAUUUACCAAAGGUGUUUGAGUUGCUGCGAAGUCAUACCUUUAGUGCCUAUGUUGGAAGUAUAAAUGCUAUCAAGGAAGGACACAGCGAGGCAUGAAGAAACCUAGUUUGCUGCAGGAGCUCAUUACUAUGCUGCUGCUAACAAAAGAACAUCACUAAUUUCAGUCUCCUUAAUUAAUGUAGGCUGAGGAGAAACAGUCUCUUCCAGGUAGAUGCAAAAAAUGGUGUGUUUGUGGUUUUGCUUUGCAGCUUUGCUUACCAGCAAGUCAUCGCUGCCAUCUAGCGUCCCUGCCGUGCACUGCCCAGCCUGCAGAAGGGCACAAAUGCAGGUGUUCCUUCUACCUGCCUUACAACAGACUACGUGGCCCUCAGAAAACUGCCACCGUUCAUCUGCCUUGACCUGCGAUGCGAGUACCCGAGGAAAUCAGCUGCGCUGGCCAAAUAAGAGAUGGUCUUUCACUUCCAAAGCCAGAGGUGCAGCUGUCUAGCUGAGGAGCUCUGGAUUACAUUAGAAGUGCCCCACAUCUGAACUGCCUGCCACCUGCACUGCCUCCAUCAUUAAUGCCGAGCUUCCAAGCUAGAAAUCCCAUUGCUCAGGAGGAACGGAGUCUCCACAUGAAUCAUCAGUAAGUUUGGGGGUUUCUUUCAUCUUAUCUUAAAAGUGAAAAUACACACAAGGUUCUUGGGCAGAUGGGUUUUGUUUAUUUUUCUCACUGAAAUAGUCUCCUUUUCUGCCAUUCCUCCUCACAGAGUAUGGCAGAGCCAAGCAAUGAUACUGAGAAAAUAAAAAAGCUUUUCUUUCCCCUCAUACAGGAGCUCUCUUUUAACUUUCCUUCCUUUCUAGACAGAUAAUGUGAACAGCACCUGAGUUGCUAAUACUGUUUUUAUUUUAAAUGGUUUCAAAAGUGUAAAAAAAUACAUUUUGCCUUGCUUAUGUCUCUCAAGAAUCCUUAAGAAGAUUCUUGUUUAAAUGGCCUGGGAUAGAGAAAUUGCACUGGGGUUGGACGUGCUGCUGAAGGAGCCUGUGGACGUGAUGUGUUCUCAAAGGCAUGGCGUAAAAUGUUUAGAAGAGGUCCACAGCUCUCUGCUUGAAGAGGGCCAGGUUGCUCAAACCUCAGCAGCACCAGCAGCGAAGUGCUGUGCCUGGGCGCUGCUGCCUGUGCCAAGUUCUCCGUGCUGCGUGAGUGUUAAUCUGCACUUCAGUUUCAUGAUGUGGUCUUUAACCUAACAACAACAAAACAGAGCACUGAUGCCAAAAUAAGCUGUAGUGUCAUCUAAACGUAAGGAACCCUACUUUACAGGAGGAAUUUUUUUUAAUGUUUCUAAAUGACUCUCACUGCAAUUCAGUAACCAGAGACACAGUAUGCUGAAGUUACAAGGAAGGACGUUACAGAAGAUGCUUUCAUUUUCUUCAGUCUUUCGAGUCAAUGUAGAAAGACAGGAAAACAACAAUAAUGAAACCUCCCACUGGAUCCCCUCCCCUUCCCCAUCUACUUUUCCCCACUCAAAAUAUUGAAACUGCACAAAAAGCGACAAACAAGCCUUUCAAAUUACAUUUCAAUUCAAACAGACUGGUAAUCUCACAGUGAUGAGAGGAGAAAGUCAGGCUUUUAAUAAUUAUAAUAUAAAAAUAAUAAUAAAAAAAAGCUUACAAAUAGCAGUGCAGCAUCCCAAAAGGCCAUGGAUUAACUGCCAGAAGGGGACGUAAUUAUACGCAGAAUAAAAAACAAACAAAACAACCCACACUGGCAAUGAAUUUUCAUACACAAUAGAACAAGCAGUCAAAUGUCAGUUUAGGCUGUGGAAAACAACAGUUUCUCCUUUUUUUUUUUUGAUUACAUUAGUUUUUUUCUUUUUAUAAAAAAAAGAUAAAAUAAAAACACAAAAUUGUACAUAAAUGCGAAUGUCCAACACUGAAAAGGCAGGGCAAUCACACCACUGAGACAAAACCUGACCAGAAAAAAAAAUGUGAAGUCCACUUUUUUUUUCCUUUUGUCUGGAUGCUAGAUUUCAGCCUGAUGCGUCCCAUCCUGCAUGGUCUCAGCAGGUAAAUGGAAUUCAACCUGGCAAUGUCUUCAUUGCAGGAUGAUGACAAGAAAGGUCAUCUCUCUUCGAGCUGUAGCACAAAUGCACCAGUUGGUUCGUUUGCUUUCUGUGAAUGCUCUCAAUGUGCUGUCCCUCUUUUUCUGUAUUUUUUAUUCUCUGUACAAUUCCUUGCAUUCCAAGGCUGAGUCCCAAGACUUGUGAUACGAUUUGGAGUCAUGUCCUGGUGAAGGUGGUCAUGCUGUAGUGAUGGCAUUAAGGUCCUUCAUAAGUCCUUCCAGGUGGGCCAUCUCUUUGGUCAGCUCAUCUGGUUCAUAAUUCUGUGGGAGAUGGAAAGAGUUAGUUACUGACAAGGUGACAUGCGGUCUUUGGAGAGAGACAGAGUAAGGAAUAAACAGUGGUCAGUGAUUCUAGCAUAGCUUGUGGCUCUGACACACUGAGUAAGCAGAAGCAGGUUUACUGAGAGUUAUAGAACUAAUACGUUGAAUAACACUACUUUAAAUGCACAUCUUUUUGCAUUAGUGAUUUAUGGUUUAACUGACUGUUAAGCUGUGAUCAUCUUAUCUGUUCCACCUGUGUCAGUUCCUGCCUCAAGGUAACAGCUGUCUUUGAACUGCAGUAGGUAUUUUAGAAAGAGUGUCCUGGCUUGAUUGGAAAAAAAAAAUGAAAAAAAUCAUACAGGUAAAAUUGUUUUAAAACACACUUAGGCUUGCUAAAAAGAUCAUAUUCCAUUUUUAGCCUCAAUUGACUAGCUUCAGCUAUUGUAAUUCUGUAAUCCAUACAGGUACAUAGACAGAUACCAUGAACUGGUUCAUCUCAAAACCUUUUCUAAGCCAAGUCUUUCAUAGAAGGACACAGAACUCUUUUCAUAGAAGGCAAGCCAGGCUGCUUGUGGUAUUCCAGUAUCAGCUCUGAUAGUGCCAAAUCAGGAGCCCCAGAACUCCUGUGUGAUCAUUUCUGCUCUGUAUAAUUGAGGCCCAUUAUUAGACCUUCUGGCUAGAGCCUAGUAUUAAAGCUACUGCUCAGCUGACUGCGUACCCCUAAACUGGAGUGCUCAGACCUGGCAGUGUGCUCUCACUUCUGUGUUCCUAGAUACAAACCUCUUCUUUCAUUUAAGCAGAAAUGAGCAGCAACUUUCAAUUUACCAAGCUAAUCUAGACUGUUUUGUACCAGAGAUGUCCUCUCUGUCCUGUGUCUAACACGCUAUCUGCCAGCAAUUGGCAAUGAUAAAUAUCAGUGAGCUGGAAGUAUUCAGACUUACUCUUCUCAUAAGGGCUAAAUCAAUUCAAAUCACCUUCUAAUCCUAAUUCCUAAAACUCAUAAUUUAGCUAGCAUAUAAAGUGUGCAUGGUGACUUUAUAUUGUACUAAUUUAUUAAUAAACUUAUUCAUGAAUACAUUUAAGUUACAAAUUUAAUUGAUAAAUAACUAAUAAGUAUUUUGGCACCAACUCUAAAUAAACAAGUAAGAUAGGAGUGACAAAUAGAAAGAGGAGUGAAAGUAUACUAGAUCAAGUAUGCAUAUAAUCUAGAGAGUCCAGCACAUACGGAAGUAAAAUCAAG